rnacentral:rRNA from 1 species
CAAUAGUGUAUAUUAAAGUUGUUGCAGUUAAAAAGCUCGUAGUUGAACUUCUGACAGUGCACAGUUUUGGCUUCGGUCAGGCUGUUCGCUGUCAUCCGUCUGCAAACUUUGUUCGACCUUCACUGGUACGGCAAAGGGAGUAGACAUUUUACUUUGAAAAAAUUAGAGUGUUUCAAGCAGGCAAUCGCCAGAAUACUUUAGCAUGGAAUAAUGGAAUAGGACUCGUGGCUCCAUUUGGUUGGUUAUUGGACAUGAGUAAUGAUUAAUAGGGACAGUUGGGGGCAUUAGUAUUUAAUUGUCAGAGGUGAAAUUCAUGGAUUUAUUAAAGACUAACUUAUGCGAAAGCAUUUACCAAGGAUGUUUUCAUUAA